GCAUCUUCAAGACCUUCUCAUGGAGAGUGUGAAUUUUUCCCCUGCCAAUCUGUCUAGCACUGGUUCCAGGUAUCUGAAUGCUUUGGUUGACAGUGCAGUGGCCCUUGAAACAAAGGACACCUCACUAGCAAGUUUUAUCCCUGCAGUGAAUGAUUUGACCUCUGAUCUUUUUCGUACCAAAUCCAAAAAUGAAGAGAUAAAGCUUGAAUUGGGAAAA